UUCCCUGUAGCUCAGUUGGUAGAGCAUGGUGUUUGCAACGCCAGGGUUGUGGGUUCGAUUCCCACAGGGGACC
rfam:Salmo salar isolate Sally breed double haploid chromosome ssa04, whole genome shotgun sequence.